GCGCCCGUAGCUCAGUUGGAUAGAGCGCCUGGCUACGAACCAGGAGGUCGGGAGUUCGAAUCUCUCCGGGCGCGCCA
rnacentral:tRNA from 1 species